GUCCCAGUGCCUCAGUGGUUAAGGCAUUUGUCCUGAACACAAGCUGAGUCCUGUGGCCUGGGUUGGAUCCCAGCUGUGGCA